AAAGAAGGUCAAAUACGGAUUCAGUAGCUGACUCUAUAGAAACAAUACCGGUUGUACCCGGUUUCUACUGGCAGAAACCGAAAGAAUUGUCCUCGUCUCUGUUCAAGAACCCAGCACCAUGGCCUGAUUUCAGAUACAAAAAUGCUACUAAAGAAGAUACAAGUUACCCAACAAAGAUACAAGACAGUGCCUCAAAAGAUAGAAUCAUUACCUCAAAAGAUAGAAUCAUUACCUCAAAAGAUAGGACCAGUACCUCAAAAGAUGGAAUCAGUACCCCAAAAGAUGAUUACUUAACGCAAAAAAUAUUAAAAGCUGUUGAAAAUCUUAAUAGAUAUAGAGAAAGUCAAAAGUAAGUAUUGAGUUAUUAAAUAAAAAUA